rnacentral:rRNA from 1 species
GAUGAACGCUGACAGAAUGCUUAACACAUGCAAGUCGACGGGGAAGUGGUGCUUGCACCAUGGCAACCAUGGCGGACGGGUGAGUAACGCGUAAGGGACUUACCUGCAGGACUGGGAUAACAGGGGGAAACUCCUGACAAGACCGGAUAAUGUCAUGGAGCUGCAUGGCUUUAUGAUGAAAGGAGACGCCUGCGGAGAGCCUUGCGUCCUAUUAGCUAGUUGGUGAGGUAAUGGCUCACCAAGGCGAAGAUAGGUAGCCGGCCUGAGAGGGUGGACGGCCACAAGGGGACUGAGAUACGGCCCUUACUCCUACGGGAGGCAGCAGUGGGGAAUAUUGGACAAUGGGGGCAACCCUGAUCCAGCAAUUCUGUGUGCACGAAGAAGGUUUUCGGAUUGUAAAGUGCUUUCAGCAGGGAAGAAGUAAGUGACGGUACCUGCAGAAGAAGCGACGGCUAAAUACGUG